AUUUUUUGUACAUUUGAUUUGCGGUUAUAAUUAUUCCCAAUAAAUAUACAGAAUUCACAUAAUUAACUCCAAACAGUUUGAGCAUGAGACUGGAAAAUGCAAAAGAAUUAGGGAAUAUUGACUUGAACAGGAAAAAUUUUCUGAGUGUCAAUAAUAAUAAUGGGCAGAGGAAGGUAUGACAAAAAUAUUUGCUAGGGCCGACAAUGUAUUGCAGGCUGCAGCUACCAAACCGCAGAGAAUUGCCCCUUUAAACACUUUGAUUUAGAAUUAUGAACAUUAAAGAGAAGCACCUCUCUUCUGUGAAAAGAGUAAUUUUUGUACCAACCUUCAGUAACAUAGAAUCUUUUAAAUCAUUACCACACAUGUCCCCACUAGGCAGUGAACACA
rnacentral:lncRNA from 1 species